GCGGUGGGAUUAUCAGUUGACUGUUUGCGGCUGUGGCAUGACACGGAAGAGCAGCAGCAGUCCACUGGGAUCAGCUGGAUACCAGCCACGAGCCUACAGCUGCAGACAGUCUCACAAGUGUCUGCGCGGAUCAAGUUUAUGGUGCUGCGAGUCACGGAAAAGGGUCAGCAAGCAGCAGCGACAGCGUGGAGUCCCCGGUCACAUGGACAACCUAGUCUGCAACGCUUUGUGGCUCCACUGACAAAGCCGCCUGCGGUCUCACGUGGCAGCUGCAGAGCUGCAGUUUCGUCACACCGAUGGCUGCGUAGUGACAACAUUGCUACAUCUGGGGUACCACUGAUGUGAACCGAGCUGAAUGAGAGGUCGCGUCAGGCUUCGGCUACCUAUUACACCAGAGGUCUUACCGAUGAAGAAAUUCAUACUAAAUUAGAAAAUUUUUCAGAUUAUAUUGACAAACAUCUGAAUGUCGUGAUGACAGUGAACUUGUAAUGAUGUGUAGCACUCCACGACAUAAUAAUGUAAAAACUCUUCAGCGUGCGCUAGUACUUCACAAAAUAUUACAGAAUCUGAAAUAACAACUGAUGAGGAAGAGGGAGGAUAAUGAAGAAAAUAUUCGAAAGGUAUCUCUUCAGCUAUGUGCUAGUGCUUCACAGAAUGUGGUUGAACAAUCGUGCAUUUCACUUUUUUUAAAGUAUGCAUUGUAUCUAGAACCCAGACAGUUGGAACAAAGAUUUAAGUGGGGCACUGACAGUUAUACAGGAAUAUAAUGAACACACGGGUAGCAUGGAUAAACCUGACAUGGUGAGGUUUUCUUAUUAAAUAGACAGAAAGUAAGAAAUAUUCAUACAGACUGUUUUGUGAAACGGUGCAAAUGACCCUUGUGAAUUCCUAUAUUCCAUGCAGUGAAGCAAAAGGAAACUUCAACUGAUUGAUUUCAAACGUAGAAUUACGCCUGUCCGACUCACAAUUGGAAACAAAAUUUCCAAAAGACGUGGAUGGCCCAAAAAGGAUGAAAAUUCUCCUCUUUCAACUCCAAGGAGAAGAAAGACAGCAUUUACAUUUUAAGAAUACAGGAUCUUAAUGAUCAAAAUUUGUCGAUUCAAGGGGCAGAUGUGAAUUUUGCUUAUGUACAAAGGUGGAAUCCAGAUCCCAUUAAAGAGUUGAGGGCGAAAUAUUUUUUGUGUGUUAAUGAAAAAAGAAAUGCCUUUAUA